rnacentral:lncRNA from 13 species
ACAGCCUAGGCUGUGGCCCGAGGUCUCAGUCUACCCAUCUGUGAAAUGAGGGGGAGCUGGUCCUGACUGCCUCCCAGGGACCUCGUGAAAAGCCGCUGUGAACUCUUCGCAGAGAGGAGGUGUGCUGGUGCCGCCAUCCAGGUUUGUGGGCUUGCCCAUCACGCUGGUCUUUCUGUAACCAUAGGCAGGAAGACAAAUGAUUUUGGAGCUCCUACUGUGAUGUAAGCCCCGUGCUGGGUAGGGUAGGGGUUCAGAAGCAAAAGCUGUAUUUUCAGCAUCAGGGAGCUCUAGUGGAGAGGCAAGAUUCACGCAUGCAAUAAUGACGACUGUCGUAGAAAAAGAAAAGCCUGUAGGUCCCCCUUCCUCCCUCCUUAUCUCCCACUGUCUAUCUCAGCAUUUCCUGGGGCCAACUCUGCUCGGGGUACUGUGUAAAGGAAUCCACAGCCAUCGACUUCCCUUCAUCCUUGCCAUGUCUCUGAAACAAUCCCUUCUGGGUCUUUUAUUCCUCCGUCAGAUGCCUCAAGAUGGCCACAUGGGAGGCCCUGUGCCAUGGUGUGAGCUGUGACCACAGCCAGAGUGGCUGCAUCAGAUAGAGGCCAGGGAAGCAGGAGGACAGAAAAAUCCAAUUUCUUUAAGUGGAUAUUGGCUACAGAAGUCUCAUCUUGGACAGCUCUGCCACUGCUUUCUGC